AAAAGUUAUGUAAGGGCGUAUGGGGGAUGCCUAGGCUCUCAGAGGCGAAGAAGGACGUGAUAAGCUGCGAAAAGUUGCGUGGAUUGGCACAUACGAGUUGAUACGCAAAUAUCCGAAUGGGGCAACCCAGUACAUUGAAGAUGUACUACAUCGUAAAGAUGGGCAAACCCGCUGAACUGAAACAUCUAAGUAGGCGGAGGAGAAGAAAACAAAAGUGAUUCCCAAAGUAGUGGCGAGCGAAAUGGGAACAGCCCAAACCCAUAUUGUUACGGCAAUAUGGGGGUUGUAGGACCCAGAUAUAGGUUGUAAAGCUGGAUUAGAAGUGUUUGGAAAGACACACCAUAGAGAGUGAUAGUCUCGUAUAGGCACAGUUUUAUAAAUCUUAUGGGUAUCCUGAGUAGGUCGGGGCACGUGGAACCUUGACUGAAUCCACCGGGACCAUCCGGUAAGGCUAAAUACUCCUGAGAGACCGAUAGUGAACUAGUACCGUGAGGGAAAGGUGAAAAGAACCGUGAAUAACGGAGUGAAAUAGACCCUGAAACCAUACGCCUACAAGCGGUCGGAGCAGCUACGGCUGUGACGGCGUGCCUUUUGCAUAAUGAGCCUACGAGUUACUGUUACCAGCGAGGAUAAGUAUUUCAGAUACGAAUCCGCAUCGAAAGAGAGUCUGAAUAGGGCGACAAUAGUUGGUAGUAGUAGACGCGAAACCUGGUGAUCUACCCUUGGGCAGGUUGAAGCGCUGGUAACACAGCGUGGAGGACCGAACUGGUUGUCGUUGAAAAGACUUCGGAUGACCUGAGGGUAGGGGUGAAAGGCCAAUCAAACUGGGAAAUAGCUCGUACUCCCCGAAAUGCAUUUAGGUGCAGCGUUGAUGUGAGUUUAAUAGAGGUAGAGCUACUGAUUGGAUGCGGGGGUUUCAUCGCCUACCAAUUCCUGACAAACUCCGAAUGCUAUUAAAUACUCAUCAGCAGUGAGGGUAUGGGUGCUAAGGUCCAUAUCCGAGAGGGAAAGAACCCGGACCAUCAGCUAAGGUCCCCAAAUAUAUGCUAAGUUGACCAAACGCGGUCUGACUGCACUGACAGCUAGGAUGUUGGCUUGGAAGCAGCCAUACAUUUAAAGAGUGCGUAACAGCUCACUAGUCGAGCGGUUGGGCAUGGAUAAUAAACGGGCAUAAGCAUAUUACCGAAGCUAUGGGGUUAUUACAUAAGUAAUAUACCGGUAGGGGAGCAUUCUAUUGGCGUUGAAGCUAAAGGCGUGAGCCAUAGUGGAGCCUAAUAGAAAAGAAAAUGUAGGCAUAAGUAACGAUAAGGCAGGCGAGAAACCUGCCCGCCGAAAGAUCAAGGUUUCCUCAGCUAUGCUAAUCAGCUGAGGGUUAGUCGGGGACUAACGCGAACCCGAGUAGGGGUAGUGGAUGUACAACGGGUUAAUAUUCCCGUACCAUUAAUCUGAUAAAAGUGACGGAAUGAGAUAGCUACCGCGUACAGACGGAAUAGUACGUUUAAGGAGUUGUUAUGACUUCAAAAGUACACCGAGGCUUCGGCUGAAGUGAGAGUGGCGACAACGUUUCCAAGAAAAGCGAAGAUUAAUGCCCGUACCGUAAACCGACACAGGUGAUUGGGAUGAGAAUUCUAAGGCGCUCGAGAGAUUCAUGGCUAAGGAACUAGGCAAAAUAGACCUGUAACUUCGGGAGAAAGGUCGCCUAUCUAGCGAUAGGCCGCAGUGAAAAGGUCCAAGCGACUGUUUAUCAAAAACACAGGACUCUGCAAAAUCGAAAGAUGAAGUAUAGGGUCUGACACCUGCCCGGUGCUGGAAGGUUAAGAGGAGAGCUUAGCGUAAGCGAAGGUUUGAAUUGAAGCCCCAGUAAACGGCGGCCGUAACUAUAACGGUCCUAAGGUAGCGAAAUUCCUUGUCGGGUAAGUUCCGACCUGCACGAAUGGUGUAACGAUCUGGG
rnacentral:rRNA from 1 species